rnacentral:rRNA from 1 species
GCAAGUCGAGCGCGAAAGCACUUCGGUGUGAGUAGAGCGGCGGACGGGUGAGUAACGCGUGGGAAUAUGCCCUUCUCUAAGGAAUAGCCUCUGGAAACGGAGAGUAAUACCUUAUACGCCCUUUGGGGGAAAGAUUUAUCGGAAUUGGAUUAGCCCGCGUUAGAUUAGAUAGUUGGUGGGGUAAUGGCCUACCAAGUCUACGAUCUAUAGCUGGUUUGAGAGGAUGAUC